UACGUAGGGUGCGAGCGUUAAUCGGAAUUACUGGGCGUAAAGCGUGCGCAGGCGGUUUGUUAAGACAGAUGUGAAAUCCCCGGGCUUAACCUGGGAACUGCAUUUGUGACUGGCAAGCUAGAGUAUGGCAGAGGGGGGUAGAAUUCCACGUGUGAGCAGUGAAAUGCGUAGAGAUGUGGAGGAAUACCGAUGGCGAAGGCAGCCCCCUGGGCCAAUACUGACGCUCA
rnacentral:rRNA from 1 species